CCAAAGGCUUCACCUUCAAAUGCCAUCUCACACUGGAGGUUUGAUUUUAAUGUAUGAAUCUGGGAGUCAUAAAUAUCCAGUCAGUUACACCAAUGGGUGUCGGUGCUCAAAAGCUAUGUGGUGGUCUCUGUGCUUCCUCUUAUGGCCCAUGGAAGUUCAUGUGCAAGGUUAUUCAAGGGUAAGUCUUCACAGUAAAC
rnacentral:lncRNA from 1 species